GAAGUGAAGACGAGACAGCUAGAUGAGCGUGCGGCUGAUUUGGCUGCAGCUGAUUUCAUUGCCUCUCGGUUCUUUCAAAACGCUGGACUUUUCUCAUCAGUUGCUCUGACCUGUGCAUCCGACAACACAAGCUCCUGGUCCCUCUUGGCAAAACCAACAAUAUACCAACAUGAAUGGCCUGCUUUGUUGCGCUGAGAUUCUGGGUGUGUUGCUGUUUAUCCCACUGUCUGGGUGCCAAACCAGAGGGCCUACAACGAACAUUGUGACUCCAGUUACAACCAGUUUGAACGACUCGGUGAAAACUGUAGUAACUACAACCACACCAUCAGAUUCUUUGACAAAUAACCCAUCUAGAUCCCAGAGUGUUCAAACCACCUCCACCACAACAACCCCCUCCCCCACCCCCACCCCCUCCAACUCACCAUGGACAUUCAUGCAUCUAAUGAAGCACUAUCCCAUGAUGAUAAUAAUCUGCGGUGUGCUGAUUAUAGUCUGCACCAUACUCCUCAUUUCUACCCUGAUGCUUACGGUGAAGGUGUGCCAGCUGAGCAGACGCCUCAGGACUCUGGGCAGCAACGGUUGCCUCGUCGUCAACGCCGAGCACUGGAUGGGAAUGGACAAGAGAAACCAAGCCGAGUCACAGCCAGACGCUAAAGAAAACAGUUUCUUACUGGCAGACAACAGUGCUACAAAGGAAGACGGAGGGAAGGCCGGUGAGGAUGGGCAAAACGGAGAAGACAAGAAGGCGGGAGAGGCUCAGGAGAGCGAAGAGGCCGCUACACCCGCAACCCCUGAGGUCAGUUCCCCGUCUUCAAAGCCUGAAGAGGAGGCCGCCACCUCAGAGCCCACCACGGCCCCUCCACCGCCUUCCUCCACUGAGGACACAGAAAAAACAAAGAAUGAGCCUUAGAGUUUUCCGCGGGAUUUUCCACUUAAGAAAUCUCCUCAAUUCAACUUCUUUAUUCCUUUUUCAAUUUUCAGCAGCUUCUCGGUACCUUUGAACCAAAGUGUGUGUGCGCGUGUGAUUUUAACCAAUCAAACUGCACGUUUGCGACAAAAAGUAAUGCCUCUAGAAUAUUCUGCUUACAUGUUUUUGUAUAUUCAAUAUUAAAAUUGGAAAACAAAAGG